rnacentral:rRNA from 1 species
AAUGAACGCUGGCGGCAGGCCUAACACAUGCAAGUCGAACGGAUCCUUCGGGAUUAGUGGCGGACGGGUGAGUAACGCGUGGGAACAUACCCAAAGGUACGGAAUAGCCUCGGGAAACUGGGAGUAAUACCGUAUGUGCUCGAAAGAGGAAAGAUUUAUCGCCUUUGGAUUGGCCCGCGUUGGAUUAGGCAGUUGGUGGGGUAAUGGCCUACCAAGCCGACGAUCCAUAGCUGGUUUGAGAGGAUGAUCAGCCACACUGGGACUGAGACACGGCCAAGACGCCUGCGGGAGGAAGCAGGGGGAAAUUUAAGACAAUGGGGGAAACCCUGAUCUGGCCAUGCGGGGUGAUCGAUGAAGGCCUUAGGGUUGAAAAGAUCUUUCAGGUGGAAAGAUAAUGACUGUACCACCAGAAGAAGCCCCGGCUACCUCCGUGCCAGCCGCCGCAGUAA